CCUACGGGCGGCAGCAGUGGGGAAUAUUGGACAAUGGGGGGAACCCUGAUCCAGCCAUGCCGCGUGUGUGAAGAAGGCCCUCGGGUUGUAAAGCACUUUCAGUGAGGAAGAACGCCUGGUGGUUAAUACCCAUCAGGAAAGACAUCACUCACAGAAGAAGCACCGGCUAACUCCGUGCCAGCAGCCGCGGUAAUACGGAGGGUGCGAGCGUUAAUCGGAAUUACUGGGCGUAAAGCGCGCGUAGGUGGCUUGAUAAGCCGGUUGUGAAAGCCCCGGGCUCAACCUGGGAACGGCAUCCGGAACUGUCAAGCUAGAGUGCAGGAGAGGAAGGUAGAAUUCCCGGUGUAGCGGUGAAAUGCGUAGAGAUCGGGAGGAAUACCAGUGGUGAAGGCGGCCUUCUGGACUGACACUGACACUGAGGUGCGAAAGCGUGGGUAGCAAACAGGAUUAGAUACCCCAGUAGUC
rnacentral:rRNA from 1 species